rnacentral:rRNA from 1 species
UACAGAGGGGGCAAGCGUUGUUCGGAAUUACUGGGCGUAAAGGGCGCGUAGGCGGCCUGUUAAGUCGAACGUGAAAUCCCGCGGCUCAACUGCGGGUCUGCAGUCGAUACGGGCAGACUUGAGUACUGCAGGGGAGACUGGAAUUCCUGGUGUAGCGGUGGAAUGCGCAGAUAUCAGGAGGAACACCGGUGGCGAAGGCGGGUCUCUGGGCAGUAACUGACGCUGAGGAGCGAAAGCGUGGGGAGCGAACAGG